ACAUCAUACCAUCUUAUAUUUAUUUUUGUCAGUGUGUUUAUAUGUGUUAUUGGUACAUAUUUACUAAUUGAUUCAUUAUCCAUUGAUUUAUCUGCUUUGCCUUCCUUAGAUGCACUUUAAUUUUUGAGUUUGGGUUCUAUUUUAAGACGUGUACUUUCAUUGAGUAUUGAAUAGUGAAGAAGUUGCAUGUGGACUUGGAUAAGCCUGAGCAAGUGUUGAGUAUUCCUUGAUCAAGAUGACGUAAUUGCUGGUGUACUCUGAUGAUGUAAUUGCUGGUGUACUCUGAUGAUGUAAUUGCGAGUGUACUGAUGAUGUAAUUGCGGUUGUAUUCUGAUGAUGGGUGUGACAGUCCUUAUAGAUAUAUAUGUGUGUUAAUACGGGGAAGCACAGCCCCACCUACUUUUGUAUGAACCACAUGAAACGCAGCAUGCACCGCUGUUGACAAAUGUACGCAGAAUUUUAUCCAUUUGUUUGUUAAUGUCUGAGAAAUAAAAGAUAAACAA
rnacentral:misc_RNA from 1 species